UAGUAGUCAUACGCUCGUCUCAAAGAUUAAGCCAUGCAUGUGUAAGUAUAAAUAGUUAACUUUGAAACUGCGAAUGGCUCAUUAUAUCAGUUAUAGUUUAUUUGAUGAAGAAUACUAAUUGGAUAACCGUAGUAAUUCUAGAGCUAAUACAUGUAUAAAGUCUUGUAGACUGCAUUUAUUAGAAUGAAAACCAUAGGUUUCGGCCUAUUCGUGAGUAAUAAUAACUAAUCAUAUCGUAUGCUUAUGUAACGAUGUGUCUUUCAAGUUUCUGCCCUAUCAGCUUUCGAUGGUAGUGUAUUGGACUACCAUG
rnacentral:rRNA from 1 species